rnacentral:misc_RNA from 1 species
AGUUUAAAGAUGUGUUACAUCGGAUUACAUUCAGAUUUAAUUUUAUUAGAGUUUAUGUAUUGACAGACGGAGCUCGCCCACCCCAAUAAAGAGGAGGACUACUAUCCGUCUCACAGGUUCACAGGUGUGUGUGGAUGAAUGGAGAAGGCGUGCACAUGCCCCCAGUAAAGUGGGCCAGCGACAACGAUCCCCAUGUUCAUUCAAUAAUGAUCCUUCCGCAGGUUCACCUACGGAAA